rnacentral:rRNA from 1 species
GCUUCUUACCUGCAAGUCGAACGCGAAGGGGGGGCAACCCCCCGAGUAGAGUGGCGAACGGGUGAGUAAUACAUCGGAACGUGUCCAGUAGCGGGGGAUAACCCCUCGAAAGAGAGGCUAAUACCGCAUACGACCUACGGGUGAAAGAGGGGGAUCGCAAGACCUCUCACUAUUGGAGCGGCCGAUGUCGGAUUAGCUAGUUGGCGGGGUAAAGGCCCACCAAGGCGACGAUCCGUAGCUGGUCUGAGAGGACGACCAGCCACACUGGAACUGAGACACGGUCCAGACUCCUACGGGAGGCAGCAGUGGGGAAUUUUGGACAAUGGGCGCAAGCCUGAUCCAGCCAUGCCGCGUGGGUGAAGAAGGCCUUCGGGUUGUAAAGCCCUUUCGGCUGGGACGAAAAGGUCCGCGCUAACACCGCGGAUCCAUGACGGUACCAGCAGAAGGAGCACCGGCUAACUACGUGCCAGCAGCCGCGGUAAUACGUAGGGUGCAGGCGUUAAUCGGAAUUACUGGGCGUAAAGCGUGCGCAGGCGGUUUGCUAAGACAGGUGUGAAAUCCCCGGGCUUAACCUGGGAACUGCGCUUGUAACUGGCAGGCUGGAGUGUGGCAGAGGGGGGUGGAAUUCCACGUGUAGCAGUGAAAUGCGUAGAGAUGUGGAGGAACACCGAUGGCGAAGGCAGCCCCCUGGGCUAACACUGACGCUCAUGCACGAAAGCGUGGGGAGCAAACAGGAUUAGAUACCCUGGUAGUCCACGCCCUAAACUAUGUCAACUGGUUGUCGGGGAAGCAAUUCCUUGGUAACGAAGCUAACGCGUGAAGUUGACCGCCUGGGGAGUACGGCCGCAAGGUUAAAACUCAAAGGAAUUGACGGGGACCCGCACAAGCGGUGGAUUAUGUGGAUUAAUUCGAUGCAACGCGAAAACCUUACCUACCCUUGAC